rnacentral:rRNA from 1 species
CACGUAGGGACCGAGCGUUGUCCGGAUUUAUUGGGCGUAAAGAGCUCGUAGGCGGUCGCGUAAGUCGGGUGUGAAAUCUCCAGGCUCAACUUGGAGGGGCCACCCGAUACUGCACGACUCGAGUCCGGUAGGGGAGUGGGGAAUUCCUGGUGUAGCGGUGAAAUGCGCAGAUAUCAGGAGGAACACCGGUGGCGAAGGCGGUGAUCUGGGCCGACACUGACGCUGUAGAGCGAAAGCGUGGGGAGCGAACAGG